rnacentral:rRNA from 1 species
CUAGCGACUUCAGAGUUUGAUCCUGGCUCAGAACGAACGCUGGCGGCAGGCUUAACACAUGCAAGUUGAACGGGAUUGUUUGAGUGCUUGCACUUAGACAUGAGAGUGGCGCACGGGUGAGUAAUACGUGGGAACAUACCUAUUGGUUCGGAACAACGCUUGGAAACGAGUGCUAAUACCGGAUAAGCCCUGAGGGGGAAAGAUUUAUCGCCGAUAGAAUGGCCCGCGGCAGAUUAGGUAGUUGGUAGGGUAAAGGCCUACCAAGCCGACGAUCUGUAGCUGGUUUGAGAGGACGAUCAGCCACAUUGGGACUGAGACACGGCCCAG